rnacentral:lncRNA from 1 species
CUUCAGGACUUUGGGUGAAGUAGUGUUUAAAAUAGUAGACAGGUGGUGGGGGGCAUAUGUGUGAAUGCAUAUAUAUCAAUGUACGUGUACAAACCGUACAGAGACCGAACCCAUAUUUCCAUGCUUAUUUACUUGGCCAUGUUAUGUUGAGACACAGUCACCAGUGUAAUCCAAUAUACAUAUACAGACACAAAACAAAUGAUUCAACUUCUGAGUCUCUUCUUGUCCUGCCACUGAAGAAAUAGGACAAAAAUACCUAUCAAAGCCUUUGAAAAAGAGAGAACAUGGUUUCCAAUCCCAAAAAAGAAAAUUUGCCUUUGUUUUCCAACAUUUCAUUUCUUCAAGAUGAACCAAGAAACCCCUUUAAAUUAUCUUGAAAAUGGAAGUUGAAAAAACCCGUGUAUUUUGUGUUCGCAGGGUAAGAGGGUUUUGCUGGUGGCGACAAGGGAAGUUUUGGCAUAUAAUGAAGCCUGAUGCUACAAUUUCUUGUGCAGCUUUCAAGAAAAUGGUGGUGGAGAAAUUGCCUGUUUUUUCUGGCUCUUUUUUGAGUUGUGCUGGUUCCCAAAAUCCAUAUUUGCAAAUGGGGUUUGGUUUCUUUCUCCUCUUCUGUUACCUAGGUGGCUCGUGACGGCGGCGGCGGCGGUGGUGAUGGUGUGAUAUUGGCGGGACGGCUCAAUCUUUUAUUUGUGACAUAAAUUUUUGUUCUCCACUUCAUUUGGUUAAUCACCAUGUUUAUAAACAAUGGAUUUGCAAAGAGUUCAUAUUACAACUCAUCAAGGUUGGCUUCUUUAAUUUCUAAUUUCUUAUAUUCCAG